GGUCAAUGAUGAGUAGUAAAAGGGCUGACCUGCCAGGCCCCUCCUGCCGCCUCGGAGUCCCCAGCCGCCUCGCUCCCAUCGGGCUCCAGUCGUGCUCAGACGGGCUCAGAGGCAGCUGACACUCGGUGAUGCCCCAGGCCUGUGUUCCUUGGCGAGCCCAGGGAGGACGUGUGGUUGGCAUCCCACAGCCCACCUGCGAAGGGAUGUGAGUGCGGGGAGUGUGGGCUCUGGCUCUGAUCUGGCUUCCAAGCUGAGACC